rnacentral:sRNA from 2 species
CUGUCUGCCGCGCCAAACCUCGUUCCGUGGACAGAGCCUCCAGAGACACACUUCAGGAACGAGGGCGGGGGACCCACCUCCGACAUCGACGGUCACGACCGCCGACAUCGGAAACGGAGCUCGUCAACCACGACGAGUCCCUCGGGGUGAAGCUCCGCACUGCGGAGCCGGGCAACCUCUCAGCCCGAACCCGACAGCUGACUUCGUCGGCGCGUGGAGAGAGGAAAC